GUUUUGGUUGCUGCGGCGCUGGGAACUGGGUACUAUUAGGGUUUCAGUGGAUUUUGGGCUUGGGGUAAAUUAGGUUUGGGCUUGGGAUUGGGCUUUUUAGUUGUAAUUUUGGGCUUAUAAUCGGGUUUGUAUAACUGGACAUUUGGAUUGAUAUUUAAUUUUUUUAUUUUUGUUUUUUCUUUUUUCGGUGUUUAUUUUGGUGUUUACUGGGCCGAGCGAAUUUGGUUAUUACAGUUGCCCCUCUUUGCUUGUUGUCGUAUAACAAAAACGAGUAAGGACUAAAAGCCCAAUUGUGCUUGGUCUUGUCGAGCCUCACUUCAUCGGUGCUUCUCUUCUUCAAGUAGCCUCGUUCUAACCCACUGUAUCUUCAAGGGUAUAGAAACUGGUGCUUCAAUC
rnacentral:lncRNA from 1 species